UGAAGUUCUGAUUGUUUGUUGUCAAAGAGUUUCAGUUUUGUGAUGAAAGAUGUGACCUUUCUUGGCAGCAAGAGUCCUUUCUGAUUGAUUAGUAAACAUGAGCAGGUAAGACGAGGAUAGAGCACUUGCUCAGAGGAUGGUUUUUCACUUGGCACUGCUGUGCCCGGGACCAGGCUCCAAAAGCAAGCACAAGGGAACUCGUUAAGUACAACAGGAUGCGAUUAGUCCCACAUGGGGAGCUCAUGUGUUAUAUCAAAAGAAACAACAACCAGCUGGUAGAACUACUUACAUCAAGGAAAGGAAUGGUGAGGAGGAGAGCUGAGGAGAGCAGUGACCACCAGGAGAGCGAGUACUGGGUAUGAGACAAGAAGCUUUUGGAUCUACGUGGGCAUGACUGCACCCCGGUCAAGGGGACAACGUGACACACAAAGGAGGUGACCCUGCAGCGUGACAGAUCUGAAUGCACGGAGUACAGAUGGAGCAUCUCCGAGGGAUGUGGUCUGAGGAAUCACAAGUGAAAUUGAUGAGAACUUGAUGCAACACCAAGCACUUUUAUCAGAAUUUCAAUGGAAAUUCCAAGCAAAGCAGGUUGGAUGACAAGCACAUGAACACCGACCUUGGGAAGAGCAACUGUGAGUGUGGGGAAGCUUUUAACACAGAAAAGAACUGUGGAAAAAUGAAGAUAGGUAGCAAAAACUGGAUUCAUGGUGGCCUUCCCAUUGAUAGGAAUUUCUCUGCAUGAGGAUGCCCUAGGAUGCAUGCUGGCAGCUCAGUGCAACACACGGCAGGGGUGUGCACCGCAGGACAUUUCCCCAUGCAAGUCUGUUCUGGAAGGGCAAUAUUUCACCUGAGAGAACAGGCUAAGAGAACAUGCACUUUGCAAGUGCAAAAAGAAGCGUAAGACCCUCUAAAUGUCUGGCCCCAGGCAAUCUGUUUCCUUUCACAGGACCGCUCUUGAAGCAGAUCUGCAAGGACUUAUCGCUUCCAUCUGCGCCACAGAGACAAGGGCACCGUUCUCACCCCAGUUCCACACAGACAUCCCAGAAUUGCCGACAGCCGCUGCGGCCCCAUAGCAAAAUAUUCCUGCAUGUCUCAGCAAGCUUUCCAAGCUGUGCACGCGGGGACGUGCAGCCACACACACGCCCUGUGCAGGUGGCUCCUGGGAACCCAACCGUGAGCUCUCCUUGUUGGGAAAUGGAGAACCUUCCUCCAUUUCAGCAGCUCCUCUACCAAAUUGCACCCCCCAAAAUACAGCUGGGAGAUACACGCAUAUUCAGUUCUGGGGCCUCCAACGCAAGAAGGUUAUGGAGCUGUUGGAGAGGGCUCAGAGGAGGGCCACAAAGAUGAUCAGAGAGCUGGAGCACCUUCCCUAUGGGGACAGGCUAAGAGAGCUGGGGCUCUUCAGCCUGGAGAAGAGAAGGCUCCAGGGGGACUUUAUAGCGGCCUUCCAGGACCUGAAGAGGGCCUACAGGAAAGAUGGGGAGGGACUUUUUAUAAGGGCAGGUAGUGACAGGAUGAGUGGAAACAGUUUUAAACUGGAAGUGGGUAGAUUGAGGCUGGAUAUCAGGAUGAAAUUCUUUACUGUGAGGGUGGUAAGACACAGGAACAGGUUGCCCAGUGAAGCUGUGGAUGACCCCUCCCCAGAGGUGUUCAAGCCCAGGUUGGAUGGGGCUGUGAGCAACCUAGUCUAGAGGGAGGUGUUCCUGCCUAUAGCAGGAGAGUUGAAACUAGAUGAUCUUAAAUGUCUCUUCCAACCCCAAACUGUUCUGUGAUUCUCUCCAGAUGCAUGUUGGUGGUAGGACAUAAGUGCUGCACAGCCCCUUCCAGGAGCACCUGGAGAUGCUUCCAGAAGACUCUGCCUGGACACAGUGUGCUGCUUGACCACAUCUGCCUGUUGUAAAGCGAAGUACCUAAAGCAAGCCAAAUUCAUGGAAGGCGAAGCACUUAUUUAGUGCAAUUUAGCAGUCACCUGUGCACCUGGGAAAUCUGCUUGGUGCUAAAGGUUUGCCUGAGCCCUGGUUCUGUGAGGAUAAAUGAGAACGUGUGUUGGGCAAGAGCAGCAGGAGGCAGCCAGAUCUGCACUGAGCUAACCUCAUCCCACCCAGUAUGCAAGAAAUGUAUCUGUGAAGAACUACUCGUACAACUGUGUUCAUCAGCAAAGACUUACAUUAGUGCACAGCUUCCAUUACGCCUAACUGAAACCAAAGAGAGUCAGCUCGUCUUGGACUUCAUAGCAGAGCCCAGUGAGGAUGAAAGAUCACCCCUUGUUAACAGCAAGGGGCUCAUAGGAGACUGGUGUCAGCAGCAGCAAAAAGGAAGGAGAGCGAGGCGUGCAGGAGCAGAGCAGACAUCCUUCUCACCAUCUCUUCCACGACUGUUGAACUGCUUCCUCUAAGAGAUUAAGAUGACGACCUGUCCUGCUGUCUCCGGGCUGGGAGAUAAGGUCUAUCUCUGCAUCCCAACUGUCCUCGCUGGGGAACUGCAAGGAGUGGUGCUGACAGGAGUGCAGCAAGGGAGGAGAUGGGGAGAGCAGUGAGCAGCAAAUGGAAAAUUCUGGCACUGCGGGGCUGAGCGAGAGUGUCACUGCUGACAUCACUAAAAGUAGGAUCAAACCUGAUCUAAAAAGCAAUUUGGAAUAUGAGCUUUUCUUUCCAAAUGAGCGGUAAGUGCCUUCCUUCACACGGAAUCCGGUGCAGUAAUAGUGGCUUCUAUUACACUUUAAAUUGAUUGGCUUUAUGGCCCAGAACUGGGGAAUUGCCCUAGCCUGAUCUCGGCGGGCUCAUGUUUCUAAUUCUGGCAACUCUAAAUCCGGAUGCCCUGAAAAUCCGUGCUGUUGCUUACAGUGUGUGCUGUUAUCUCCAUUUUCAUGUGUCCGGGCAAAAUAAAGGAGCCGGGAUGCACAGAAGAUUGGCCAAAAGGUGAAAAGGAAACCAGGAAAGCAAGCUAGCGAGUGCAGAAGGAAAAGUUUACAUGCAGAGUUCAUCCAUGUAUAAUCUUGAAUGAUUAUUAGAGAAUGGCUUGGGUUGGAAGGAACCUCCAUGAUCAUCCACUUCCAACCCCAUGCUAUAGACUGGUUGCCAACUGCUAGACCAGGCUGUGCACAGUCCCAACCAGCCUGGCCAUGAAUGCCUCCUUUGUAUUUGCAUUAUCCAAGACCUUUUGUAUGAGAGCGAGGUAGCAUCUCUGUGUCCUUCCAUUGGGGUCUGAAGGACAUGGAUGGAGAGAUGCAGACACCACCACGCUUCUGAGCCCACGUCAAUCCUUUGCACGGCCUGUGUGCAGCCCCAUUUAGGACAUCAGAACCUGUAUUUGUGCCACCAGGUUAAAAAAUAGCCCCACUGAAAGGAAAAGCUUAACAAGGUGCAGCACAUCGGCAUGAAGGAAAGAGCAGCUGAUGGGCUGCAGAGUGACUUGGAGGAGCUCCCACCCUGUGCUGGAGCAGAGCUCAUAACUCCGGCUCACACGGAGGACGUGCCCUGGGGGAAUUAUUCUACCUUUGAUCCGCACACGAAAUCCCAGCUGCUGUCAGAGGAGCCGUGCAUGCCUAACCACGGCUGUACAUCAUCCUAAUAAAGGCCAAAGAGAAGCUCAUAUAUAAAUGGAGUGCAAAGUUUUUUGACACUGGCUCUAAUAAAUAUCAG
ensembl:lncRNA